ACCCGGAGAACUGAAACAUCUUAGUACCCGGAGGAAGAGAAAGAAAAUUCGAUUCCCUUAGUAGCGGCGAGCGAAACGGGAAGAGCCCAAACCAAAAAGCUUGCUUGUUGGGGUUGUAGGACACUCUAUACGGAGUUACAAAGGACGACAUUAGACGAAUCAUCUGGAAAGAUGAAUCAAAGAAGGUAAUAAUCCUGUAGUCGAAAAUGUUGUCUCUCUUGAGUGGAUCCUGAGUACGACGGAGCACGUGAAAUUCCGUCGGAAUCUGGGAGGACCAUCUCCUAAGGCUAAAUACUCUCUAGUGACCGAUAGUGAACCAGUACCGUGAGGGAAAGGUGAAAAGCACCCCGGAAGGGGAGUGAAAUAGAACCUGAAACCGUGUGCUUACAAGUAGUCAGAGCCCGUUAAUGGGUGAUGGCGUGCCUUUUGUAGAAUGAACCGGCGAGUUACGAUUUGAUGCAAGGUUAAGCAGUAAAUGUGGAGCCGUAGCGAAAGCGAGUCUGAAUAGGGCGUUUAGUAUUUGGUCGUAGACCCGAAACCAGGUGAUCUACCCUUGGUCAGGUUGAAGUUCAGGUAACACUGAAUGGAGGACCGAACCGACUUACGUUGAAAAGUGAGCGGAUGAACUGAGGGUAGCGGAGAAAUUCCAAUCGAACCUGGAGAUAGCUGGUUCUCUCCGAAAUAGCUUUAGGGCUAGCCUCAAGUGAUGAUUAUUGGAGGUAGAGCACUGUUUGGACGAGGGGCCCCUCUCGGGUUACCGAAUUCAGACAAACUCCGAAUGCCAAUUAAUUUAACUUGGGAGUCAGAACAUGGGUGAUAAGGUCCGUGUUCGAAAGGGAAACAGCCCAGACCACCAGCUAAGGUCCCAAAAUAUAUGUUAAGUGGAAAAGGAUGUGGCGUUGCCCAGACAACUAGGAUGUUGGCUUAGAAGCAGCCAUCAUUUAAAGAGUGCGUAAUAGCUCACUAGUCGAGUGACACUGCGCCGAAAAUGUACCGGGGCUAAACAUAUUACCGAAGCUGUGGAUUGUCCUUUGGACAAUGGUAGGAGAGCGUUCUAAGGGCGUUGAAGCAUGAUCGUAAGGACAUGUGGAGCGCUUAGAAGUGAGAAUGCCGGUGUGAGUAGCGAAAGACGGGUGAGAAUCCCGUCCACCGAUUGACUAAGGUUUCCAGAGGAAGGCUCGUCCGCUCUGGGUUAGUCGGGUCCUAAGCUGAGGCCGACAGGCGUAGGCGAUGGAUAACAGGUUGAUAUUCCUGUACCACCUAUAAUCGUUUUAAUCGAUGGGGGGACGCAGUAGGAUAGGCGAAGCGUGCGAUUGGAUUGCACGUCUAAGCAGUAAGGCUGAGUAUUAGGCAAAUCCGGUACUCGUUAAGGCUGAGCUGUGAUGGGGAGAAGACAUUGUGUCUUCGAGUCGUUGAUUUCACACUGCCGAGAAAAGCCUCUAGAUAGAAAAUAGGUGCCCGUACCGCAAACCGACACAGGUAGUCAAGAUGAGAAUUCUAAGGUGAGCGAGCGAACUCUCGUUAAGGAACUCGGCAAAAUGACCCCGUAACUUCGGGAGAAGGGGUGCUCUUUAGGGUUAACGCCCAGAAGAGCCGCAGUGAAUAGGCCCAAGCGACUGUUUAUCAAAAACACAGGUCUCUGCUAAACCGUAAGGUGAUGUAUAGGGGCUGACGCCUGCCCGGUGCUGGAAGGUUAAGAGGAGUGGUUAGCUUCUGCGAAGCUACGAAUCGAAGCCCCAGUAAACGGCGGCCGUAACUAUAACGGUCCUAAGGUAGCGAAAUUCCUUGUCGGGUAAGUUCCGACCCGCACGAAAGGCGUAACGAUUUGGGCACUGUCUCAACGAGAGACUCGGUGAAAUCAUAGUACCUGUGAAGAUGCAGGUUACCCGCGACAGGACGGAAAGACCCCGUGGAGCUUUACUGUAGCCUGAUAUUGAAAUUCG
rnacentral:rRNA from 1 species